rnacentral:lncRNA from 1 species
AUUUCUUCAUUAAUAGCUUAUACAUAUUUAUAUUACAUAGAAACCCACUUAAGUUAAAGUAAAUAGUUAAACUAAAUCUAGUUACAACUUAACUAGCCAUUAUCACUAGAAACCAUGGUGACCAUUAUGAUUUUAUUUACAAAAGGACAAGAAACAACAGACAUAUUUUGACACAUAGCAACUGUGACAACCUAAAGCCUGGUCACGUCUUUCAUACUUAAAAGUCUACUUUCUAUUUGUGUUGUCAAAAAAAUAUCUUCAACCUUGACUGUUAAAGUAUCUUCAAUAUGAUCUCAAUAGUCUAACACACCUCCUUGAGAUCAUUUUUGAAGACUCCCAAUAGUGACCUUAGAGUUUGAAACCUAUUUGUUGGCAGCCCUUUAGUCAUGAUAUCUGCAACUUGAUCUUGAGAGCUGCAAUACUGCACAUCAAUCUCUUUGUUUUUGACAGCAUAACGUAUCAUAUGAAACCUCACCCAAAUGUGUCUUGUUCUUCCAUGUUGCAUCGAGUUUCUGGACAUAACUAUAGCUGAUUGGUUAUCCAUCCAAAGAACAGUAAGAUCAUUUUGAGAAAACCCCAGGUCAAACAAGAUUUUUCUCAACCAAAGGCUGUGAUUGGUUACAGCUGCAGCUGAGAUACACUCAGCUUCUGCCUAUGACUGUGCCACCACCUCCUGCUUCUUGGAGGCCCAUGAGAAAACACCAUUGCCAAAGGAGAAAAUGAAUCCAGUGGUACUCUUAGAGUCAUUGAGACUUCCAACCCAAUCACUAUCCGAGAAUCCUUGAAGAUGCUAGCUUUGUUCUCGACCAAAUCUGAUGCCAAAAUCAAUGCUGCCCUUAAUGUAUCUUAAGUUCCUUUUUGCAGCAGAUAGAUGAGUCAUUGUUGGCUGAUGCAUAAACCUGGAGAGCAAGCUUGUUCUAAACAUGAUGUCAGGUCUUGAAGAGGAUAAAUACAAGAGACUCCCUAUUAAUCUUCUGUAAAUAGUGGCAUCUGCUAACUCUUCAUUAUUGGACAAAGAAAUCUUAACAUUUGCAGCAAUAGGAGUAGGAGUGGCCUUGCAGUUUUGCAUCUUAAAUUUUUUGAGAAGCUCAGCUGCGUACUUUUGUUGAUGCAAUAUUAUAGACUUCUUGGCUUGGACAAAUUCAAGUCCAAGGAUAUAAGUCAUUAAGCCGAGAUCCGUCAUCUCAAAUUCUUCCAUCAUCUCCUUUUUGAACUUCAAUAACAGCUCAGUAUUAAGACUAGUAACAGGAAUAUCAUCAACAUAAAUCGAAACAAUGACUUGUUCACCUGCAGAAGAACAACAGACAUAGAGAGUUAGCUCACUCUCACUCCUAUAAAAUCCUUUAUUGCAGAGAUAGCUAUCAACUCUUGCAUACCAUGUCAUGACCCGGAACUCCCAUCAAGCCCAUGACAACCGCCGCGAUGUCUCGAUAGACAUUCAUUACCCGAAAUGCCUACUGAAACUUCACAAGGCUUUAACAUUAGUUUUUCACUCCCCCUGUGAGUAACAGUUACUAAAUAUCCUGUUUAAAAGUGUAUAAAUUACUUUUAAAUCAAAACAAUCAAAAGGAAAUUUUCUACGACACAGGGGUAUUUUGGUCAUUUUACUUAAAAAUUUCGAAACCUAAUAAAAAUACGAUAUACAAGUAAUAACCAUUCAUUUCAUGUCUAAAAUGAAGUUUAAUGGUCUAAAUCAUAAAUUAAAAAUGAACUUAUAGCCAUUCAAACUAAAUAAAAAUAUUAAAUAAAAUAUUCUAUUUUCUUAUAAAACAAUCUUAUAGAACUACGCGUAAAUAAUUUUUGUAACGUAAAAGCAAAAUCAAUUCAUACAUACAAUGGCAGAGUGAACCAGGUAUACAAAAUAUUCUACAAUGACAUGUGGGCCCCAUAAUAAACCAAUAUGUACAAAAAGGUAGACCUUCGACUUCUGAGUUUGUAAGUCCAAAGGUAUCCCUCGACGAAAUCUACUAUCUACCAACUAUCUUGAGAUUGAAAUGGGUAAAAAAAAGAAAAUGUGAGUUUUUAUAAACUCGGUGAGUAAACAAACAUCAUCUAAAAUAUCUAAAGUCGAGUAAAGGAAGACAACUUAAAAUAGUGCAUCGUACUAGGAUUCAUAACGUUUCAAACUCAUUUCAACUAAAUAAAAUAAUUUCAUUUUACUCAAAUAAUCAACAUGGCUUAUGAAUUUCCUAAAAAUUUGGCUCAUGCCAAAAAGUAGUACUCGAUGAUGCCUUGCGCCGGGGCAUCCAACCGAGUCCGUCAAGGCUGUUAAAGAAAAGUUCAUAUACGCAUAAAAUACAUUUUACGUUUAAAAGCAUAGCCGUUUCUUGGCAUUGGCUGAGUUCACCCUUACAUGGUGGUUUAGCGUGUAGUGAACUCUAAAACUUUACCUUAAGAGAUACCCUCCCCGCCUCUAGUACCAAGGUAAAAUAUAACUGGGUUUACUGUGCCCCUCUCUAAUAGGUUGGUCCACGGAAACCCGCCACUGCCGUGACUAAUCAUUACCCCACCAAAUCAAUAAAAGUUUCGACAGCAUGACAUGGCAAUUAUAUUACUACCCAGCUUGUUAAGGCAAAACAAACAGUUCAUACAAUUUCCACACAAUUUCCAAUUCAGCCAUUCAUGCCAAUAUCACCAUAAGCCAUUCAAUUCAAACCAUAAAUUUACAACACAAACAAACAGUCUCCAAUUACUCAAUUUCUAAAAUCAUCAUUCAAUUUCAAAAUGAUUUAUAAAACUCAUUUCAUUUAAUCACAUUUUACUUAUAAAACAUAAGGAUUUACCAUUUAAACUCAUUUUUCUAUAAAAUCACAAAAACGAAUAAAAACUACUUUAGAUAAUUAAGACGAUAAUAAGGUUACUCACAAUAUCGGGAGUCGAAGUACUCCUAGUCCCGAUCUUCGGGUACAAUCUCCUUACCCUUAUCGGAAGUUUCACCACCUAAACAUAAUGCACAACAAGCAAUUUACUAUAUUUGUACUAAACCGUUAUAAAACUAAUUUAGGCUCUAUAUGAAUGCAUGAAAUGGGAUGCGAAAUGUUCGGAUUAUUAUCUAAAUAUGGUGUUCUACGUAGCUUCAAUUAUGUAUCGAAAUAAAAUGGUAUUGGCCUAAUUCGAUCUAUACACCGGUUAAUUGGCCAAUACAUCCAAUUCAACUCCAAUUAACUUGAUUCCACUUCCAACACUCCAAGUCAUCAAUUACAAGUUAAAUAAUAUGUAAUAUCACAAAAAUCCAUCAUCAAUAUCUUCCUUGUAAAAUUCAGCCAUUGAAGGUUUAGUGUAGAACAUGUAAUUUUCAUGCUUGAUUUUUACACCUUACAUCAUAAAACAACUAAAAACACCUAAAUAGCAUGAAAUUCAUCAAAGUCCAUUAUCCAAUUUCUCUCUUGAAAAUUUCAGCCAAGGAGUGUGGGUGAAGGGCAUGAAAUUUCUUGCUUGUUUUUCAUGCUAAACAUCACCAAACAACUAAAAACACUAAGAUACCUUGAAAUCUAACCAAAUAAAUCAUCAAAUCUUCUCUCCCUAAAUUCGGUCAGACAUGAAUCCUUCAUGAGAUCUUGAAUUUUAACCAUGAUAAUUGAAAAAGAAUGCAUAGGAAAGGUAGAUCACAAGCUAGAAUUAAGAAAUUUUACCUUUGCUUCCUUAAUUCCUUGAAAUCCCAUGAAUUUUCUCUUGAUUUUCUUCUCUAGGGUUUGUUCUAUGCUUUUUCCGUUUUGUUCUUGCCUUGGCCGG